rnacentral:rRNA from 1 species
GACGAACGCUGGCGGCGCGCUUAACACAUGCCAGUCGAACGGAAAGGCCUGCUUUCCCUUGUGGAUUGCGGGUACUCGAGUGGCGAACGGGUGAGUAACACGUGAGUGAUCUGCCCCCAACUUGGGUAUAAGCCUGGGAAACUGGGUCUAAUUCCCGAUAGGACUGCAGGGUGGUGCCUAUGGUGGAAAACGAUUUUCUAGUGGUUGGGGAUGAGCUCGCGGCCUAUCAGCUUGUUGGUGGGGUAAUGGCCUACCAAGGCGGCGACGGGUAGCCGGCCUGAGAGGGUGGACGGCCACAUUGGGACUGAGAUACGGCCCAGACUCCUACGGGAGGCAGCAGUGGGGAAUAUUGCACAAUGGGCGGAAGCCUGAUGCAGCGACGCCGCGUGGGGGAUGACGGCCUUCGGGUUGUAAACUCCUUUCGACCGCGAGGAAGCCACCUGGUUGGAAGGGUGGUGACGGUAGUGGUAGAAGAAGCACCGGCUAACUACGUG